GUGCAUAGCUCCUUUGACAAGGAGCUGACUAGGUUCUUCGGGCAGGCAGUGGAUGGUCGGCCCAAGUACCAUAUGGUGAAGUGGGCUGACAUCUUCCUAUCGAAGAACCGCGGUGGCCUAGGCAUCCCUGCAUCUCGCCGGAUGAACAUUGCGCUGAUGAUGCAGUGGGUUUGGCGGAUCUUGAGGGGGGGUGGGGGUCUCUGGCUUCAGCUGUUGGAGGCCAAGUACUUGCAGGGUCAACCCCUCUUGGCUUGUUCUCUCUCGGUUGGGUCCCAGUUCUGGAAGUCUAUUACGGCCAUUAAAGAGGAGAUCGGGCUGGGUUUGCGUUUCUUGGUUGGUAAUGGGUUUGGGACCCAGUUU
rnacentral:rRNA from 1 species